GGAGAGGAGAGAGGGGUUGGAGGCAGUUGGGAGUGGGAGGGUGCUGAGAGCUGCCUGCAGGAGAAACCUGCACAGCCCUUGACAAGGUAAGUCUCUGGCUGCAGGGCCAUGCAGCUGCAGCUCCUGGAAGGGUCUCAUGCUGGGUCUUGUUUCUGGGAGGGCGGUGGGCAAUGCAGUAGGCUGUGAGAGUCCUGCUGGAUUGCACUGCGAGGUGAGGAAGUCUGGCAGAAGCCCCUUGGAGUGGCCUAAGCCAGGUGCCCCUGACACCCUAGAAGCCUCGAACACCCUGCUGGUGAUGCAGGGCUCUCUCUCAGCUGCCCCAUAGCUCCUGCUGCAUGGAGGUGCCCCUUGGCAGGGCCCUGGUGGUGGCAGGGUGCUGCAGGGCAGUGCUGAGCACAGCCGCAUGGGAUGGGGUCUGUGAGCACAGGCGGGGGAAAGAAGAGUUUGGCCAAGAUCAGCAGGAACAGAGUGGCCAAGAAUCCUCUAGGUACAGCAUGUUGUGUGCCUGGGAUACUGGAAUACCCCAGCGUGUGGAUAUUCACCUGUCUGUGGGGUGUUUUCCUGGGCUUCAGGCUGCUCUCCAGCAGGAUGCAGCUCUCUCGUGGCAUCCUUGUGGCAUGCAGGCGUCCCAAGGAGAAGACACCUCCUUGCUAAGGCCAUGUCCGUGCUGCUGGAUGUCUGUCUGUGGGCAGCUGGAGUGAGGCCUCGGCAGCCCUGGCUAGGGGGGAAGAGCUGAGAUCCUGCUCAGGCCCCCAGGGCCAAGUGUGGUCGGAUGAGUUGUUUGCAAAAAGACUGCAUGGCUCAUUGAUCUGACAAGUGGACUGCACUUGAGUUUCCCCCAUGGUCCUGCUUCCCUCCUGCUGCACAGCAGGAAGGACUCCUCUGGAGCCCACAGCAGCCCCUGCUCCCAGUGUCACACGCAGCCAGCACCACCCAGAGCUCAAGCAAGAGAGCUGCAGAAAGGUUCUCAUGCAAAGAGAGAGGCUUAUCUGCGGGCUUUCCAGGAGAUGAAAUAGGUUUUCCUCAUUGAAGUCUGUUCUAUUUUUUUUUU